AUUGAACGCUGGCGGCAGGCCUAACACAUGCAAGUCGAGCGAGCGGCGGACGGGUGAGAAAUGUCUGGGAAACUGCCUGAUGGAGGGGGGUAACUACUGGAAACGGUAGCUAAUACCGCAUACCAUCAGAAGUGCCCACAUGGGAUUAGCUAGUAGGUGGGGUAACGGCGUAACUAGGCGACGCUCCCUAGCUGGUCUGAGAGGAUGACCAGCCACACUGGAACUGAGACACGGUCCAGCGUGCUACGGGAGGCAGCAGUGGGGAAGAUUGCACAAUGGGCGCAAGCCUGAUGCGGCCAUGCCGCGUGUGUGAAGAGGGCCUUGGGGUUGUAAAGCACUUUCAGCGGGUAGGCGUUACCCGCAGAAGAAGCACCGGCUAACUCCGUGCCAGCCGCCGCGGUAAUAC
rnacentral:rRNA from 1 species